UGGGGAAUAUUGCACAAUGGGCGCAAGCCUGAUGCAGCCAUGCCGCGUGUAUGAAGAAGGCCUUCGGGUUGUAAAGUACUUUCAGCGGGGAGGAAGGUGUUGAGGUUAAUAACCUCAGCAAUUGACGUUACCCGCAGAAGAAGCACCGGCUAACUCCGUGCCCGCAGCCGCGGUAAUACGGAGGGUGCAAGCGUUAAUCGGAAUUACUGGGCGUAAAGCGCACGCAGGCGGUCUGUCAAGUCGGAUGUGAAAUCCCCGGGCUCAACCUGGGAACUGCAUUCGAAACUGGCAGGCUAGAGUCUUGUAGAGGGGGGUAGAAUUCCAGGUGUAGCGGUGAAAUGCGUAGAGAUCUGGAGGAAUACCGGUGGCGAAGGCGGCCCCCUGGACAAAGACUGACGCUCAGGUGCGAAAGCGUGGGGAGCAAACA
rnacentral:rRNA from 1 species